rnacentral:rRNA from 1 species
GGCUUAACACAUGCAAGUCGAACGCGUGUAGCAAUACACGAGUGGCGCACGGGUGAGUAACGCGUGGAUAUCUGCCUUUUGGUUCGGAAUAACCCCGGGAAACUGGGGCUAAUACCGGAUGGUUCCUACGGGAUAAAGAUUUAUCGCCAAAAGAUGAGUCCGCGUACGAUUAGCUAGUUGGUGAGGUAAUGGCUCACCAAGGCGACGAUCGUUAGCUGGUCUGAGAGGACGAUCAGCCACACUGGGACUGAGACACGGCCCAGACUCCUACGGGAGGCAGCAGUGGGGAAUAUUGGACAAUGGGGGCAACCCUGAUCCAGCCAUGCCGCGUGAGUGAUGAAGGCCUUCGGGUUGUAAAGCUCUUUUGGCGGGGACGAUGAUGACGGUACCCGCAG